rnacentral:snRNA from 1 species
ACCACUUUUGAUUAAAUAUCAAUAAAACCAGUCAAAAAAAAAAAAUCUGUUCUUAUCAGUUUAAUAUCUGAUACGUCCCCCAUCCGGGGACUACAUAUUAAAUGGAUUUUUAGAUCACGGAGCUGGAGCCGGGGCUUGCUCCGUCCACUCCAUGCAUCGGCCUGGUAUCGCAGUGUCUCCAGGAACGGUGUGCUUUCC